AUUGAACGCUAGCGGGAUGCCUUACACAUGCAAGUCGAACGGCAGCGCGGACUUCGGUCUGGCGGCGAGUGGCGAACGGGUGAGUAAUGUAUCGGAACGUGCCCAGUAGCGGGGGGAUAACUACUCGAAAGAGUAGCUAAUACCGCAUACGCCCUACGGGGAAAGAGGGGAUCGCAAGACCUCUCACUAUUGGAGCGGCCGAUAUCGGAUUAGCUAGUUGGUGAGGUAAAGGCUCACCAAGGCGACGAUCCGUAGCUGGUUUGAGAGGACGACCAGCCACACUGGGACUGAGACACGGCCCAGACUCCUACGGGAGGCAGCAGUGGGGAAUUUUGGACAAUGGGGGAAACCCUGAUCCAGCAAUGCCGCGUGUGCGACGAAGGCCUUCGGGUUGUAAAGCACUUUUGCGGGAACGAAACGGCGUUUGCUAAUACCAGACGCUUAUGACGGUACCCGCAGAAUAAGACACCGGCU
rnacentral:rRNA from 1 species